UAUUUCGGAAAUAAUUUGAAAUGGCAAGCAGAAGGAUCUCUUCUUAUCUCGCUCACUUUCAACUUAUCUCACCUCUCCUGUUGGAAAUUUUCAAUAAUCUCCCAUUUCUAUUCCCCAAUUUUGAUUAACUUUUUUGUUAAUAAUAUUUGUUUCUUUGAUCUUCUAUUUGUUUUUCGUGGGGUUUGUUAUUUUUUCUUUCACAAUUUUGUUUAGUUAUUUAUAGUAAAUUCCCCAGUUUUUGCCCAAAUUCCGACUCUUAUAUAGUAACUAUGAGUGCAGGUAACCCAUAAUUUAUCCUGUUUAAAUCAAAGGGCAUACAGAAUUUGUAGCUUUAUCACAACUGUAAUUGAUUUACUCUUGAAUUAGUCAUGUUUAGGGACCUUUACUUGAUAUGACCUGAGAUACUUAGGGUUGACUUUGCAUUUAUGUCAUGUUUCAAUGCGAGAGAGAUAUUGAUGUCAGUUGGGGUACACGGUGUUUCCUGAUUCGUUUUAAGGUUACUAAUUGUUUAGGUAGGCAGGCGUAGUAAGUUUGGGGAAGCUUUUAGUUGUGGCCUGUUAUCUUUUUUGUUUGAUGAGAUACUUACCUAAUCUCUUGAUAAAAAAAAAAAUUUUACAGUGGGUAAAUUUGUGUGAUGAUCAUUGUAUUACUAUAUUUGUGGUUCAUGGCUGAUAAAGGCAGUUAUAUAUACUGUCUCGAUGUUGCAUUGUAGGUUGUCAAUAACAAAAGUAUUCAUAUCCAUGUCAAACUAAUAGAUUCAAAGAGAACUAGAUCUUUAGGGAAUGUAAAGAAUAUGGGUGGUCACUUGGUAUUUGAAAGAAAUCAUGAAAGGUUUCACCGUUUCUAUGAACAUGCCUUUAUAGUCACAUGGUUCCAUUAUUUUACGUUUUUGCUACAUAAUUUAUUCAAUAAUUUUAUGCUGUGACUUGCUGUUUCAUUACAUUGUUGUUGCAAUCUUUUCUUUGAUUAAUUGAAGAAGGUUAAUAGUGUACUGCCUUAUGAUUCGUAAUGGGCGAAUUUUUGCAAUAAUUAGUGUGGUUUUGGUUUGAGUUUGGUGACGAGUACAUUCCUGUUGUUGUAAUUGUAAGUGUGUGUAGUCGAAAAGAUUGGGUUUAUGACUGUAAGAUGAUGUAGCCAUGUAGUUUUGAAAUGCUUUAGUCCCAAUAAGACUGAUAUUCUUCUGUAUGAUGUAAUGUAGGUACAAACGUUCUUCUGUAUUCAUUCUUCGUUCACAGAGUUGGCUUUAUGAUGAACUGCAGUGUGUGCCAUUGCAGCUGUUCUUAGAGACCUCUGCAUUGCUGAGAUGAUGGACAUGGAUCGCUAAGAGAAGCGUGUCGGAUAAAGGAACCACUCUGGACUGUCUUCGAAAUUUCAGAUGUCAUUUCUCUCAGCAUGACAAAACAAUGUUCAUUGGAGAAGAUCCUUCUUCUCAUGUGGAUGCAUUCGGGUGACUAUUCACCAUUGCUUUUUUUUUUAUGGAACUCGACAGAGACAUCUCGCUUGAUGAACUUUGUAAACAUUUUUUUAAUCUAAUUUUACAUUUAGAGGUUGUAAUGCAAUUUUAAGUUUUUAUAAUCCCGCACGCAUCGCGUGCAUAUAAG